AAGGAUUUAAGUUAAAUUAAACUUGGAGCCUUCAAAGCCCCCCAUAAAGCAAUUCGUCUUUAAGCCUUA
rnacentral:tRNA from 1 species